UUAUAAAUUUUUUUUUCUUUAUUCUAAAAACCAGAAAAAACAAAACUGGAUACAUGUGCAGAACAUGCAGACCAAGUGUGUUGGGGACUUGAGAUGCGUACAUGAGUGUGAUGUUUCCUGCUGAAAGCACAGGUGAGACGUGGUCUUGUAACACAGUGGUUAAGAAUGUGACUUUGGAGCCAGCCUGCUAGGGGCUGAAUUCUGACUCAGCCAUUUACUAACUGUGUGACCUUAGGCUGGAGUGCAAUGGCAUGAUCUCGGCUCAUCACAACCUCUGCUUCCUGGGUUCAAGCGAUUCUCCUGCCUCAGCCUCCCGAGUACCUGGGACUACAGGCACUCGCCACCAUG
rnacentral:lncRNA from 1 species